UGAGUAGGCGGUAAUGUGUGUCAGAUGUAAAAGGCGUAGGCUUAACUUACGUAAGCAUUUGAAACUGCAUUACUUGAGUGCAGGAGGGGUAAGUGGAAUUCCUAGUGUAGCGGUGAAAUGCGUAGAUAUUAGGAGGAACACCAGUGGCGAAGGCGACUUACUGGACUGUAACUGACGCUGAGUCACGAAAGCGUGGGUAGCAAACAG
rnacentral:rRNA from 1 species